rnacentral:rRNA from 1 species
CAUCGCCUCUUGCCAACAAUCAUGUAUAAGAGGUCCAGCCUGCCCAGUGACUAUAUGUUCAACGGCCGCGGUAUUCUGACCGUGCAAAGGUAGCGUAAUCACUUGUCUUUUAAAUAAAGACUGGUAUGAACGGCACCACGAAGGUUCAACUGUCUCCUGCAUCCAAUCCAUAAAACUGACCUCCCCGUGCAGAGGCGGGGAUAUCACCAUAAGACGAGAAGACCCUAUGGAGCUUAAAACUAAAGGCAACUGCCAAACUAUUCUACCCAUAAGGAUAAACUAUAAAACAAGCAGAAAUUGACCUAAAGUUUUCGGUUGGGGCGACCAUGGAGAAUAAAAAAUCCUCCUUGAAGAAUAGGGCUUACAACCCUUAACCAAGAACCACUAUUCUAAGUAACAAAAUUUAUGACUGCAAUUGAUCCAGUCUUACUGAUCAACGAACCAAGUUACCCUAGGGAUAACAGCGCAAUCCAUUUCAAAAGUUCCUAUCGACAAAUGGGUUUACGACCUCGAUGUUGGAUCAGGGCAUCCCAGUGGUGCAGCCGCUACUAAAGGUUCGUUUGUUCAACGAUUAAAGCCCU